GACGAACGCUGGCGGCGUGCCUAAUACAUGCAAGUGGGACGCAAGGACACACACUGUGCUUGCACACCGUGUUUUCUUGAGUCGCGAACGGGUGAGUAACGCGUAGGUAACCUGCCUAUUAGCGGGGGAUAACUAUUGGAAACGAUAGCUAAUACCGCAUAAUAUUAAUUAUUGCAUGAUAAUUGAUUGAAAGAUGCAAGCGCAUCACUAGUAGAUGGACCUGCGUUGUAUUAGCUAGUUGGUAAGGUAAGAGCUUACCAAGGCGACGAUACAUAGCCGACCUGAGAGGGUGAUCGGCCACACUGGGACUGAGACACGGCCCAGACUCCUACGGGAGGCAGCAGUAGGGAAUCUUCGGCAAUGGACGAAAGUCUGACCGAGCAACGCCGCGGGAGUGAAGAAGGUUUUCGGAUCGUAAAGCUCUGUUGUAAGUCAAGAACGUGUGUGAGAGUGGAAAGUUCACACAGUGACGGUAGCUUACCAGAAAGGGACGGCUAACUACGUG
rnacentral:rRNA from 1 species